AUCGAAGGCCACUAGACUCAAGCUUAAUCCCUGCAAAAGUUGCGGGGACGUGACAUCACCCGGAUGCUGUGGUUCCGAAGCGUUCCGAUCAGGUGGUGCAGCAAUAUCGGAGAUAGUUUGGAGUAAGUCUCGGGCUCCAAGUGAAAUUUUAGAGGAUAAGGUUCAAGUGGGUGGCUUCGGUCUUGCUUGCACCCGACAAUCGAAGGCGAAGAUAAACAUGUAGAAAGCAGAUUAAUUCCUCGUUUGGACGAGAGUUCGAAUCUCUCCAUCUCCACAG
rnacentral:tmRNA from 1 species